rnacentral:misc_RNA from 1 species
GAAAACAAGGAACCAACUAAGCCCAGAAGGGUAGAAAGUGAAUACGUUAAAUCACAAAUCCAUGUUCACAUAAUAUAAUGGUUUGAAUCAACUUGACUCGUUAAAUCAGACUCAUUUGGAAAAAGAAAAAGGAAGCAACAUAUAUAUUUUAUAGACAUAUACAGGAUUUCCACCCAAUUGUGAUUUUUUAAUCACUCUGAUUUUAUGCAUUUGGCACCACAAAACUAAUAUCUGGC